AUGGAGCUUCUUGCUAGUUUUGGUGGUAUAAAAUUUAUUUGCCGUUCAUCAAAAAAAAAAAAAAAAAAAAAAAAACGGAUUCAUCUUAAAGAUUGGGGUGUUGGUGAAUGAGGUUUGAUGCCACUUUCUUUGAUCAACACUCCUUUCAAAAGAUUUUUAGUUCAAUAUGUGGUAUCUGAUCGAUGAGACUUGUAACUAAUGAACAACCCGCCACCCGGAUUGAUGGGUUCAUUCAAGGAUCGAUCAAAUAUUAGACAUCGAGAUAACUACAUAAUGAUAAAAGGGUAAGAAACUGCCAUUGACAAGCUCUAUUAACAAAAAAGGUGACAAAUUCAAACAGGAUAUCAACUUUCACAUUAUUUCAGAGACGAUUCUUCUUGGAAAUAAGUUGUUAACGAACCACCUCGCAUAGGCGCAGCUCUCAAAUGAUCUCGAUCACUGGGUGUGCAGCUGCAGUCAUUUGAAGUUUUGAGCUAUCACAUCUUUCAUGCUGAAACUCACAAGCCUUAAAACAUCUUUCAAAAACCAUUUACAUUGGUAACAAAAUCUUAAGUUUUCUUCAUAUGUGACAUCGUCCAAGGCAUCCCGAUAAAUUUCAAGAUACUCUUUAUCAAUAAAAGCAUUUCGAUAUUCAUGCGUGGAAAUGUUGAGAAAAUUACAUAACAAUAGCAUGUGGUUCAAUUGAAGGGUUGUGCCGGUUUGGGUGGUUCAUGUGCUUGGUUCCAUGGAACACAACGAUUUGGAUAUGUCACACCUAUUGAGCGUCGUCAAAAGGCGAUGGUUCAAAGGGUAGUGAUAUUUCGGUUGAUGGUUACAGACGAACCAUAGUGACUAUUUGAAUAUCAACUGUGUAUCUCUUGUACA
rnacentral:lncRNA from 1 species